rnacentral:lncRNA from 1 species
UCACAGACUGUAAAUGGUUAUAGUUUCAGUUUCUUUUCUUAGCUGAGAAAUUCUUUUUCUCUUUUCCUUAGCUGUCGCAAUAAAUCACACCUGGGUGACCUAUAAUAAAUAUUUAUUAUUUAUAUUAUUUAUAAAUAUUUUUUCUGACUUCUGAAUUCUUCUUCUUUUAGAUGUUAAGGAUUUUGCUGUUGUUAUUGAUUCUAGGCAAGCUCGGAGUCUAUAUUUGUGGUCAGAGCAUACCUUUUUCACCUAGGUUGUGUUUCUUUUCCAGGGUUUUGCUUGAGGAAUUUUAAAAAGAAACAUUUUACUCAGCUGAUGAGUGGCCUGUUCAAACUUAGUUUUUCAUUAGUGCGUUAUGUUUUUAUUUCCCGUUGAAUGUUGCAACUGGAGUUACAUGGAAGUUCAUCCAAGAUUCUAUCUGUCUUCUACUGGACGAUUAAGCUCCUAAUAAACUCAGAUAGAAACAAAUACCAGGCUGGAGUCUUCUGGAAUGUAUUGCCUUGACAUAUUUAAUGAUAAAGGUAUUUCAUUUUCCUCUUUGUGAGAAUAGAAGUCGUUAACAUUAAUAGGAUAUCCAUGCUUGUCAAAAAAAAAAAAAGGACAAAGUUCUUAAAUUCAUAAAUACUUCAUUCACUAUAUCCAGUUUCUCUGAAAUUCAUUUCCCUUUUCC